GGGUUGUGAGGUUAAGCGACUAAGCGUACACGGUGGAUGCCCUGGCAGUCAGAGGCGAUGAAGGACGUGCUAAUCUGCGAAAAGCGUCGGUAAGGUGAUAUGAACCGUUAUAACCGGCGAUGUCCGAAUGGGGAAACCCAGUGCAAUUCGUUGCACUAUCGUUAACUGAAUACAUAGGUUAACGAGGCGAACCGGGGGAACUGAAACAUCUAAGUACCCCGAGGAAAAGAAAUCAACCGAGAUUCCCCCAGUAGCGGCGAGCGAACGGGGAGCAGCCCAGAGUCUGAAUCAGCUUGUGUGUUAGUGGAACGGUCUGGAAAGUCCGACGGUACAGGGUGAUAGUCCCGUACACCAAAAUGCACAGGCUGUGAACUCGAAGAGUAGGGCGGGACACGUGGUAUCCUGUCUGAAUAUGGGGGGACCAUCCUCCAAGGCUAAAUACUCCUGACUGACCGAUAGUGAACCAGUACCGUGAGGGAAAGGCGAAAAGAACCCCGGCGAGGGGAGUGAAAAAGAACCUGAAACCGUGUACGUACAAGCAGUGGGAGCACCUUCGGGUGUGACUGCGUACCUUUUGUAUAAUGGGUCAGCGACUUAUAUUCUGUAGCAAGGUUAACCGUAUAGGGGAGCCGCAGGGAAACCGAGUCUUAACUGGGCGUUAAGUUGCAGGGUAUAGACCCGAAACCCGGUGAUCUAGCCAUGGGCAGGUUGAAGGUUGGGUAACACUAACUGGAGGACCGAACCGACUAAUGUUGAAAAAUUAGCGGAUGACUUGUGGCUGGGGGUGAAAGGCCAAUCAAACCGGGAGAUAGCUGGUUCUCCCCGAAAGCUAUUUAGGUAGCGCCUCGUGAAUUCAUCUUCGGGGGUAGAGCACUGUUUCGGCUAGGGGGUCAUCCCGACUUACCAACCCGAUGCAAACUACGAAUACCGAAGAAUGUUAUCACGGGAGACACACGGCGGGUGCUAACGUCCGUCGUGAAGAGGGAAACAACCCAGACCGCCAGCUAAGGUCCCAAAGUCAUGGUUAAGUGGGAAACGAUGUGGGAAGGCACAGACAGCCAGGAUGUUGGCUUAGAAGCAGCCAUCAUUUAAAGAAAGCGUAAUAGCUCACUGGUCGAGUCGGCCUGCGCGGAAGAUGUAACGGGGCUAAACCAUGCACCGAAGCUGCGGCAGCGACACUAUGUGUUGUUGGGUAGGGGAGCGUUCUGUAAGCCUGCGAAGGUGACCUGUGAGGGUUGCUGGAGGUAUCAGAAGUGCGAAUGCUGACAUAAGUAACGAUAAAGCGGGUGAAAAGCCCGCUCGCCGGAAGACCAAGGGUUCCUGUCCAACGUUAAUCGGGGCAGGGUGAGUCGACCCCUAAGGCGAGGCCGAAAGGCGUAGUCGAUGGGAAACAGGUUAAUAUUCCUGUACUUGGUGUUACUGCGAAGGGGGGACGGAGAAGGCUAUGUUAGCCGGGCGACGGUUGUCCCGGUUUAAGCAUGUAGGCUGGUUGUCCAGGCAAAUCCGGAUAAUCAAGGCUGAGGUGUGAUGACGAGGCACUACGGUGCUGAAGUAACAAAUGCCCUGCUUCCAGGAAAAGCCUCUAAGCAUCAGGUAACAUCAAAUCGUACCCCAAACCGACACAGGUGGUCAGGUAGAGAAUACCAAGGCGCUUGAGAGAACUCGGGUGAAGGAACUAGGCAAAAUGGUGCCGUAACUUCGGGAGAAGGCACGCUGGUGUGUAGGUGAAGUCCCUGCGGAUGGAGCUGAGACCAGUCGAAGAUACCAGCUGGCUGCAACUGUUUAUUAAAAACACAGCACUGUGCAAACACGAAAGUGGACGUAUACGGUGUGACGCCUGCCCGGUGCCGGAAGGUUAAUUGAUGGGGUUAUCCGUAAGGAGAAGCUCUUGAUCGAAGCCCCGGUAAACGGCGGCCGUAACUAUAACGGUCCUAAGGUAGCGAAAUUCCUUGUCGGGUAAGUUCCGACCUGCACGAAUGGCGUAAUGAUGGCCAGGCUGUCUCCACCCGAGACUCAGUGAAAUUGAACUCGCUGUGAAGAUGCAGUGUACCCGCGGCAAGACGGAAAGACCCCGUGAACCUUUACUAUAGCUUGACACUGAACAUUGAGCCUUGAUGUGUAGGAUAGGUGGGAGGCUUUGAAGCGUGGACGCCAGUCUGCGUGGAGCCAACCUUGAAAUACCACCCUUUAAUGUUUGAUGUUCUAACGUUGGCCCCUGACCGGGGUUGCGGACAGUGUCUGGUGGGUAGUUUGACUGGGGCGGUCUCCUCCCAAAGCGUAACGGAGGAGCACGAAGGUUAGCUAAUCCUGGUCGGACAUCAGGAGGUUAGUGCAAUGGCAUAAGCUAGCUUGACUGCGAGCGUGACGGCGCGAGCAGGUGCGAAAGCAGGUCAUAGUGAUCCGGUGGUUCUGAAUGGAAGGGCCAUCGCUCAACGGAUAAAAGGUACUCCGGGGAUAACAGGCUGAUACCGCCCAAGAGUUCAUAUCGACGGCGGUGUUUGGCACCUCGAUGUCGGCUCAUCACAUCCUGGGGCUGAAGUAGGUCCCAAGGGUAUGGCUGUUCGCCAUUUAAAGUGGUACGCGAGCUGGGUUUAGAACGUCGUGAGACAGUUCGGUCCCUAUCUGCCGUGGGCGCUGGAGAAUUGAGGGGGGCUGCUCCUAGUACGAGAGGACCGGAGUGGACGCAUCACUGGUGUUCGGGUUGUCAUGCCAAUGGCACUGCCCGGUAGCUAAAUGCGGAAGAGAUAAGUGCUGAAAGCAUCUAAGCACGAAACUUGCCCCGAGAUGAGUUCUCCCUGAGACUUUAAGUCUCCUGAAGGAACGUUGAAGACGACGACGUUGAUAGGCCGGGUGUGUAAGCGCAGCGAUGCGUUGAGCUAACCGGUACUAAUGAACCGUGAGGCUUAACCUUACAACGCCGAAG
rnacentral:rRNA from 1 species